AUUGAACGCUGGCGGCAGGCCUAACACAUGCAAGUCGAGCGAGCGGCGGACGGGUGAGUAAUGUCUGGGGAACUGCCCGAUGGAGGGGGAUAACUACUGGAAACGGUGGCUAAUACCGCAUACCAUCAGAUGUGCCCAGAUGGGAUUAGCUAGUAGGUGGGGUAAUGGCUCACCUAGGCGACGAUCCCUAGCUGGUCUGAGAGGAUGAUCAGCCACACUGGGACUGAGACACGGCCCAGACUCCUACGGGAGGCAGCAGUGGGGAAUAUUGCACAAUGGGCGCAAGCCGGAUGCAGCCAUGCCGCGUGUAUGAAGAAGGCCUUAGGGUUGUAAAGUACUUUCAGCGGGGAGGCGUUACCCACAGAAGAAGCACCGGCUAACUCCGUGCCAGCAGCCGCGGUAAUUC
rnacentral:rRNA from 1 species